AGCAUUUACCUGGAGUAUCCAACAUAUAAACAUCCAUAUCAUUAAACAAUCGGACAAUUUCGCUUAUUCGCUUUGUAACACCAGGAUAAUUCCCAACUAUAGCAGAUUUCGAUUUCCGUAAAGCUACAUUUCUUAAAGAGUUUAAUAUGCUACUUUUGCCAGUAUUAGGCAUACCUACAAAAUAGACAUAGACUCUCCCGUUAGCGGACGCUUGAUCAACCAACGUCCGAAUUAGUCUUAGGAGUUCCUUAGCAAAAUAGGGGGCUUUGGAAACGUAAGGAGUGAUAAAAGCAGAUUUUUCUGGCGUUGAAGUUUCUUUGAACCAACAUUCAACAUUUUGAAAUUGUUGUGCAAGAUUCUGAAUUCGGUGUUUUGAUACUUUUGCCUUGGUAUGAAAUGUGUCAGCUAAAUCACAUUUGUUGUAGACAAUUAUCCUGUUCUUUUUAUUAAGAAAGUCUUCCAUAACGUAAUUUCUUGAUGUUAAAGGAAUUCUCGCGUCUCUCACUUCAACAAAUAUAUCAUUUGAAGAUGUUAAGUUUUUUAAUCUCUUAAGAGUCUUAUUCAUAUGACCAGGAUACCAAGUUGAAGGCAUCUGAUAUUCAAAUGUUUGUCUUGCUACAAAGGCCAUGGAAUUAUCGGUUUGCCGCUAUAGCUGGUGAAUGUUUUAGUUUUAAAAAUCUUUAAGCUAUCCAAAAUUAAUGGUUAUAAUCUCAUAAGCUUUUUAGGUGAAAUAAAAAAAGUUAAGUCAUUUUGUUGAGACAAGUA